GACGUAGGGCGCGAGCGUUGUCCGGAUUUAUUGGGCGUAAAGAGCUCGUAGGCGGCUUGUCGCGUCGGCUGUGAAAACCCGCGGCUCAACUGUGGGCGGGCAGCUGAUACGGGCAGGCUGGAGUUCGGUAGGGGAGACUGGAAUUCCUGGUGUAGCGGUGAAAUGCGCAGAUAUCAGGAAGAACACCGGUGGCGAAGGCGGCUUCCUGGACCGACACUGACGCUGAGGCGCGAAAGCUAGGGGAGCAAACGGG
rnacentral:rRNA from 1 species